GAUGAACGCUGGCGGCGUGCCUAAUACAUGCAAGUCGAGCGAACAGACGAGGAGCUUGCUCCUCUGACGUUAGCGGCGGACGGGUGAGUAACACGUGGAUAACCUACCUAUAAGACUGGGAUAACUUCGGGAAACCGGAGCUAAUACCGGAUAAUAUAUUGAACCGCAUGGUUCAAUAGUGAAAGACGGUUUUGCUGUCACUUAUAGAUGGAUCCGCGCCGCAUUAGCUAGUUGGUAAGGUAACGGCUUACCAAGGCAACGAUGCGUAGCCGACCUGAGAGGGGAAUGGGCCCAACGGAAACUGGGAAAGGGCCCAGAUCCUAAGGGGAGGAGGCGGAGGGAAUCUUCCGCAAUGGGCGAAAGCCUGACGGAGCAACGCCGCGUGAGUGAUGAAGGUCUUCGGAUCGUAAAACUCUGUUAUUAGGGAAGAACAAAUGUGUAAGUAACUAUGCACGUCUUGACGGUACCUAAUCAGAAAGCCACGGCUAACUACGUG
rnacentral:rRNA from 1 species